rnacentral:lncRNA from 1 species
CUUUCAGCACCUGGCACCUCAGACAGACUGCGAGGAUGGAAGCAGCAUCAGGUAAAUUAUACCUAACAAGGUUCACGCCCAGAACUGUGAGAAGAGUUGGAUCCCAGCUCUUUGGAAGACAAUCCUUCCUCCAGUGGUGAACUUGAGCUGCACACACAAUGCAGGAGGGCUACAGAGCACAGUUCUGAAGCAUUAUUUCCACACUGAUAAAUUCAUGAUUUAUGAAAGGAAAUACUGCCAGCGCUCACUCCCUCCUUCUCUGCUACAGCUUGUUAGACACAAAUUGCAACAACAAUCUUAAAUACUUGCAUUUUAUUUCAGGCCAAAGCCCCUCCACUCUGAACUAAAUGCC